CACGUAGGGCGCAAGCGUUGUCCGGAAUUAUUGGGCGUAAAGAGCUCGUAGGUGGUUUGUUACGUCUGCUGUGAAAACCUAGGGCUUAACCCUGGGCUUGCAGUGGAUACGGGCAGACUAGAGGUAGGUAGGGGAGAAUGGAAUUCCUGGUGUAGCGGUGAAAUGCGCAGAUAUCAGGAGGAACACCGGUGGCGAAGGCGGAUCUCUGGGCCGAUACUGACGCUGAGGAGCGAAAGCGUGGGGAGCGAACAGG
rnacentral:rRNA from 1 species